CAUUGCAAAGAGGCGGAGCUACUUCAAAUGACGUCGACGUGGGCGUCAUGUAUUAGCCAAUAGUAUUGUGAAAGAGAGCAAGCGAAAACAUGGCGAAUCCGACUGUAAGUGGUCAUUUAUUUCAUCGAAUGAAUGUAAGGAUUUAAACCACUUCUAAAAUUGCUGCUACACAUUGUCUAUAGUUUGUGUCUGAGUCAGCAAUACUAUCAUGCAUAGGGUUAAGUGUCAUUUCUGCCUUUACUGAGGAAAUGACAGGGUUAAUGAAUCUAUGGAAUGUAUGAGUACUGAACUAAAUGGAAUUUUCAAACAUAUUUGAACUUAUUGAGAUGUUCCUGUAUGUUGUCAUUUGUUUAACUGUAAUUGUUCAAUCCAUCAACCUUAACAAAGUUCCUUCAAUCCAAAAAGUCUUUCUAUUCUUUUUGAAUGCACACCAGUCUGAAUAGACAAUGACAAUACGUCAUGUGACAAAUUAUUUGGGCAUAUUGGACAAUACCUACAUGACCCUAAAGUUUUUAAUUCGUUGUUUCUUGGGGGGGGGGGGUCUGUCUAUUGAGAGUGCAACUGAAUAGUUACAGGAAAGAAGGAAUCAGAGAGAAGGGGAACGACAUGUAUGAAAAGGCAACAACAACAGCCUUUGUAUUGGGGGACCUGCACGAGCCACCGAGCUGACCGGCAACCCGACCCUUGAAAUCCGGUUGGGUGCAAAAAAUAUAUAUAUAUUUAAAAAAUCUUCCCUUUGUUUGUUCUCAGCUCCAUCCAACCAUCUUCAAAGAUGGACGCCUACCGCAAUCCAUUUUUGAAGGCUCACAGUCACAAUACAAAUGCAGCAUUUGUUUUAAAAGCGGGGAGUAGGCAUAUAUUGACACGGUGGUCGACCGGUUAGCACGACCGCCUCACAGUUCUGAGGGCCGGGGUUCAAUCCCCGGCCCCGCCUGUGUAGAGUUUGCACGUUCUCCCCGUGCCUGCGUGGCUUUUCUCCGGGCACUCCGCUUUCCUCCCACUUCCCAAAACAUGCGUGCCAGGUUGAUUGAAGACUCUAAAUUGCCCGUAGGUGUGAAUGUGAGUGCCAACGGUUGUUUGUUUCUGUGUGCCCUGCGAUUGGCUGACGACCGGUUCGGGUGUACCCCGCCUCCCGCCCGAAGAUCGCCGGGAUAGGCUCCGGCACGCCCGCGACCCGAGUGAGGAGAAGCGGAACGGAAGAUGAAUGAAUGAGUGUGCAUAUGUUUUGGCUCAUACGCAAAGCCACGAAAAGCCAGCUUUUUGUCUCGGAGGAAUGUUGCCCAGCACAUGGUCAGAGCUCUCCAGCUUGGACAAGGAGGUAAAAACCCCCCAAAAUGUGAAAACAUCUUCCAAUGAUGGUGAACGUCCCGUUUUGGGCUGCUGCUUGAAGCUUACACACAUAGUUUGAUACUGUAUUUAAGCUGUUCAAUUUUGUAUCUUGCUUGCUAAUUGACUCCAUAUUUUUACCCCGGAGAUGAUCUCUCGUGAUUGGUCCGUUCCACAUGCCGCCUUCUCGAUCGAUUUUGAUCGAGAAGGCGGCGUAUCGUCUGUAACGUAUCAUCUGGUCAUCUAGGUCCGUUUGUUCGAGCAGACUCUGUUCCACGGUCGCCGGUUUCCUUGUUCCGGAAAGGAAAAUAAAACGAGGCCACCGCAAAUGGCCCACAAAAUGCAGAGGAAGCUCCCCCCCUGUGGCGUCCUUGCCAAUACCGGCCGGAGCGACACCCCCGACUCGGAGAAGAACUGCAGUACGUUUUCAAAAAGUAUGCCUGCGAUUGGCUGGCAACCGGUUCAGGGCGUACCCCGCCUCCUGCCCGAUGACAGCCGGGAUAGGCUCCGGCACGCCCGCGACCCGCGUGAGGAGAAGCGCGACAGAAAACGGAUGGAUGGGUGGAUGAAGGCAAACUGCGCGCGGUCGCCGUCCGCACGAGUGUAAAGAAGCCUUAAGGUUUGUUGAUGUUUUUCUUUUGUCUUUCACGCAUGAAGACUCAGCAUCUGUAAUCUCAUUUGCAUGAUCUGAAUUUGUGGGCCUGGUACAAUCCUUUUUGUAGCCUACUGAAAAUGUAUUGUACUUCUGCUAUUUGAGCGUGACACGCCAGAUCUGCGUAGGUGGUGGCGCACCAUCCUAUUGGAGAACUUGGAGAUUGAAGGAUCGGCGGCGCAUUAUACCAACGAAGGCGCCCGGAUGGCCGGCGGAUCUCUGCGACCGAUCUUCCGCAUCUCCAGGAAGAGGAAAUUUGAGAUUGACACGCUGACGGAUUCCAUUUUGACAUUUUGAGGGCUGCCUUCGUCGAAGCUGGGGACCGCGUGAGCCGUUUUGGCCUUCCGGUCAGACGAGAGACGUUCCGCAGUCGACACGCCUUCGCUGGCGACACAGUGAGUGAGUGAUGCUGUACAGAUCGAUUUGAAUAUUUUGCUUUUUUGUUAACAGGUGUCGUGACCUGGAGUCUGUACUCCCCUGACUUUAGGAACAAAUUCCGAAUCCUCUCUGUCAUCGCCGCCUGUGUCCAAUGUCGUACUGAUUCUAAAGACACAAAAGGUUUUCGGGGGCGGGGAAAGAGAGGAGAACUUCUUAGUUUUCAGUCCGACGGCGACAAUCUGGGAGGAUGCUGCUCUUUGGACUGU